UACGAAGGGGGCUAGCGUUGCUCGGAAUCAUUGGGCGUAAAGCGCGUGUAGGCGGCCCGAUAAGUCCGCUGUGAAAGUCCAGGGCUCAACCCUGGGAUGCCGGUGGAUACUGUCGGGCUCGAGUCCGGAAGAGGCGAGUGGAAUUCCUGGUGUAGCGGUGAAAUGCGCAGAUAUCAGGAGGAACACCAAUGGCGAAGGCAGCUCGCUGGGACGUGACUGACGCUGAGACGCGAAAGCGUGGGGAGCAAACAGG
rnacentral:rRNA from 1 species